rnacentral:rRNA from 1 species
CACGGGGGUGGCGAGCGUUACUCGGAUUUAUUGGGUGUAAAGGGCAGGUAGGUGUCCUUGCAAGUUUCUGGUGAAAUCCUAAGGCUUAACCUUAGAACUGCCUGAAAAACUGCAAGGAUUGAGGCUGGAAGAAGAGAGCGGAAUUCCCGGUGUAAGGGUGAAAUCUGUAGAUAUCGGGAGGAACACCAGUGGCGAAAGCGGCUCUCUAGUCUAGCCCUGACGCUGAACUGCGAAAGCUUGGGGAGCAAACAGG